rnacentral:lncRNA from 1 species
UGUGUUGGAAUGCUCAAUUUAUAGAGAAAUUGAGGAAAUAGCCAUUGAGAAUGCUUAGGAAAUGAAAAUAGCCAUUGAAUAGUUGAUAAAAUAACUGUUGGAGAUGUAUUUGCCCAGACCCGAUCGAUCCCUUCCAUGAGGGGAUUGAUCUUGUCAGUGGCUGGGUGGUUAUCUCCUGUUUUACACUCUAUUUACUAAUUUGAUCAUAUCUUGAGUUAUAUAAAUCAAAAUCAC